UGGGUCAUAAUUAGUACCAUGAUUUUCAGAACUUUGGAGGCUUCAGAAAAAUAUAAAGAACUUUGAUGGCUUAAGAAAAAAAAAAAGUUCUAAAUUGAGAAAUUGAAGUCCUAGGAUUUGUAAUCGUAUCCAACUGGGCGCCCUGAUUGGAGUCAGAUCACGGAGAUACUGUCGAAGGAGAACGAUUUAGGAGAAAAAGAAGCGAAGGAAAAGAGGGAAAAGAAGCUAAAAGCCAAGAAAAAUAAGAUGAAAGUUGAUGGUAGCAGCAGUAAGAAGAAGGGAGGGAGUGGAUUUCAAGUAGGAAAGAAAAAGUUGAAAACGAGGAUGACACCAUUGGCCAAAGCUAAAGCUGCCCAGGCGAUGGAGGUCGACGAGUAAGGUUACUGUGGGAAUUGAAUUAAAUGCAGCAGAAAAUAGGAAAUUUGUCGAAUCUCAUAGAUUGUAGCUUAGUAACUUGGAAUGUAUGCACACUUCCUUCAUAUAUCAUUGAUGCCUUUUGUGUUCUUUAAUUUUGGAUUGUCCCACUUAUGUGGGAAGUGGGAACUUUGUGUAGAUAUUCUUGGUUGUCCCAUCCAUAGUUGAGGGAACUCUACAAAAAGGAUUAUGACCUGUAGUUGACUGUGAGAAUCUGGUUGAA